GACGAACGCUGGCGGCGUGCUUAACACAUGCAAGUCGAACGGAAAGGCCCUGCUUUUGUGGGGUGCUCGAGUGGCGAACGGGUGAGUAACACGUGAGUAACCUGUCCUUGACUGUGGGAUAACUUCAGGAAACUGGGGCUAAUACCGGAUAGGAGCUCCUGCUGCAUGGUGGGGGUGGGAAAGUUUCGGCGGUUGGGGAUGGACUCGCGGCUUAUCAGCUUGUUGGUGGGGUAGUGGAUUACCAAGGCUUUGACGGGUAGCCGGCCUGAGAGGGUGACCGGCCACAUUAGGACUGAGAUACGGCCCAGACUCCUCCGGGAGGCAGCAGUGGGGAAGAUUGCACAAUGGGCGGAAGCCUGAUGCAGCAACGCCGCGUGCGGGAUGACGGCCUUCGGGUUGUAAACCGCUUUCGCCUGUGACGAAGCGUGAGUGACGGUAAUGGGUAAAGAAGCACCGGCUAACUACGUG
rnacentral:rRNA from 1 species